rnacentral:rRNA from 1 species
GCACAAGCGGUGGAGCAUGUGGUUCAAUUCGAAGCAACGCGCAGAACCUUACCAACCCUUGACAUGUCCAGUAUGGGCUUCAGAGAUGAGACCCUUCAGUUCGGCUGGCUGGAACACAGGUGCUGCAUGGCUGUCGUCAGCUCGUGUCGUGAGAUGUUGGGUUAAGUCCCGCAACGAGCGCAACCCUCGCCCUUAGUUGCCAUCAUUUAGUUGGGCACUCUAGGGGGACUGCCGGUGAUAAGCCGCGAGGAAGGUGGGGAUGACGUCAAGUCCUCAUGGCCCUUACGGGUUGGGCUACACACGUGCUACAAUGGCGGUGACAAUGGGAUGCAAAGGGGUGACCCUGUGCAAAUCUCAAAAAGCCGUCUCAGUUCGGAUUGGGGUCUGCAACUCGACCCCAUGAAGUCGGAAUCGCUAGUAAUCGUGGAUCAGCAUGCCACGGUGAAUACGUUCCCGGGC